ensembl:lncRNA
CGAGCGGGCGGGACUCGGACCCGCCGCUCUCGGUCCCGCGCAGAGCCGCGGGGAGCAGCGCACCGGGCACAGGGGAGGCAGCGCGGGGUCAGCCGUCCGAACACCGGGGGCCCCGCACUUCGCCGCCCUGGGGGCGGGCCCACGCACUCCUGCCUCCGGGGCCCCCAGCACCAGGGUUCUGCCGGGCUGCAGGACUCGGAGCUGCCGCUGAGUCAACCUGAGCUGGAGAGGGUCGUGUUCGCGGUGCGGAGUCUCUGCAGCCCCGGCUGGGCUCCUGGCCAUGCCCCCGCCCCCCCCCCCCCCCCCAGGCCCCUUUGUUGUGCAGUGAGACCGGUAGCGCCUCCGCCGGAACCUUCAUUCGAACCCCGCGCCCUUGCCACAAAAGAGGUGAACCGGCCAGGGCCGAGGAGCCAACCCCGACACCGCAGGGUCCUAGCAGAGGCACCCCCGAUGGCGAGGGGCGCACGGCCAACGCCAUCCCCGAAGAGAAGCCGGGAGGAGCCGGGCUCGGCAGGCAGGAGCCGGCGGCGGCGGUGCGCUGGGCCUUCCGCCUUCGCGCCUCCGCAUUCUGCAGCCGCUUCCCCGCUGGGAUUCGAACCCGGACAGAGCCCCCACUGCUCGGGGCGACAAGUCUCGCGUUCCUCUCGCCUCCCCACAGAGAAGGUGCUCUCUGCCGGCUCUGAUUCUCACUGACCGCUGCCUCUGCUGUUUCCGGCCCUAGGUGAGUGUUGCCCGCGGCAGCGCCUCGCGCACCAGCAGCUCAGUCUCAUUGCCACCGUCCUUCAGAGAGCCGGUCGCCCCCGCCCUCACCCUGACUGUCUUUUCCUGCGGGCUGGGCAGAGGGUCCCUGGGCCUUGCUGCCAGACUGUGGGGUCUCAAUAGGGAAUCCUCAUGGGGGAGUAGGGUAUUGCUGCAGGCCCCAGCAGGCUCAGAACCCACUGACGGGUGGUGGGGGAGGAGGUCCCUGGUAGAGGAAAGAGGGGAGCUGGGCCCCCCCCCCCACUCUGGAGCUGUGCCUCCUAACCUAGCCAAGGCAGGCUGCAGCUGGUGGGCUGAACCUGGCUGGGGCCACCGCCAGAAAGAACACAAGGUCACCCCAGGGCCCCCUUGCCCGGAGCCUACCAGGGGCUGAGUAUGGGGCUGAGGAGAACAGUGGCACCUGUGAAGCACUCCCACCUGCAGACAGGGUCCCUUCCCCACCCCCAGCCCAGCCCAGCACUCUUCCCUGCCCGCCUGCCCAGGAGGCAGCCCGCAGGCCCCAAGGUGGGGGAGGCACAGCCUUCUCCUAGGGGCGCCCCAGCUCACUCAGGCCCUCUCCCUGCUCCCUCCCUCAGCUCAGGAGGCAAUAAAACCCUCCAGCCCUGGCCAGGCUGGGCCAGGACACCCUCCUGAUUCUGGGGCUGUGCCCUUGCCAGGGUCUGGGGAAGGAGGGCUGGAGGCCUGGGAAGAAGGCCUAGGCCCCGGGGAGGUGGAGGGUGCUGCUGCUUAGGAUCUGUCUGUGGAGGGGGAGGAGGGGUCCGGAGGAGCAGCCCAGGAGCCACACCCCCAGGCGCUGCAGCAGCGGAGGCCAGCCAGCGCGAUCAGCUCGAGGAGUGUAAGCAGACUGUCCCCAAGGCCAUGGCCCUGGCCGAGGUUGGGUCCUGGCCCGGCCAGGCCCUGCCCCCGCGUGGCCAGACUUAGAACAAAUUGGAGAGCAGGUCAGGCAUUGUGGAGUCCCAAGGAGAGAGUGAAUGAGCAAGGACAAUCAGACUGCCGUCCUCCUGGGCACCCAGCCCCGUGUCCUGCCCCACAGACAUUUGGGGACUCUGGAGUGGAGGUAUGGGAAAAGGAGCAGUUUUCAUUGCAUUGAUACUCAAAGGUUUAAGGGCAGUUUUCAAACUGAGCCAAGCUCUGGGGAAUCUUGUGGUCGAUGCCGGGCCUGGGGGACCCCGCACUGGGAGGUGGAAAUGCUACCCACCCCAUCCCGGUGACCUCCUUGGCUUCUAACUCUGUCAGACUGUCAGAGGCUGGUGAGGUGCGGGUUGGCUGCGUGGACGUGCCCUACACUCUAUCGAGUUUUGGAACUGAGUUCAUUGCUGCAAUCUAGGGGGCCGAGAAAAAGGACUUUUACCACCAACUUCCGCUGCAUUCUGGAGCCCCGAUUCAGCCCCCGGAGCUCUGCCCUCUCCCAGCCUUUCCACCAAGCAGAGAGAGGCAGCCGGAGACCCAUGAUCAGAUGAACUCUUUUGGGAGUGGGCGGGUUUGGGAGAGCGAGCAAAGCUGGUCCUACAGUGCUGUAAGAAGCAUUGUGUGGGGUGAGCAGGGAGGGGUCCCCGACUCCGAGGCUCCCCGAGAAGCCACGAGCAGUAAAACCACACUGG